rnacentral:lncRNA from 1 species
UUUCAGUGUGGUGGAUACCCCAGGUAGUUUAGUUUGCUGUUACGCUCGUGCUGGGGAUGCCGAGUGUAUUUGACAGUAGCGUUCAGGUUGUUCCGGACUCGUGGGUGCCGUCGGGGUUGACGGUGGACCCAGAUCGCCGUUUUGGCGUCAGAUUGUGCUGAGGGCACGUGACCUGUUGGUUGUUAGACCCUGUUACCUGAUUUUGGCUUGUGAGAGCCUGAUUGAGCUCGACAGAGAUA